CCUACGGGAGGCAGCAGUGGGGAAUAUUGGACAAUGGGGGCAACCCUGAUCCAGCCAUGCCGCGUGUGUGAAGAAGGCCCUCGGGUUGUAAAGCACUUUCAGUGAGGAAGAACGCCUGGUGGUUAAUACCCAUCAGGAAAGACAUCACUCACAGAAGAAGCACCGGCUAACUCCGUGCCAGCAGCCGCGGUAAUACGGAGGGUGCGAGCGUUAAUCGGAAUUACUGGGCGUAAAGCGCGCGUAGGUGGCUUGAUAAGCCGGUUGUGAAAGCCCCGGGCUCAACCUGGGAACGGCAUCCGGAACUGUCAAGCUAGAGUGCAGGAGAGGAAGGUAGAACUCCCGGUGUAGCGGUGAAAUGCGUAGAGAUCGGCAGGAAUACCAGUGGCGAAGGCGGCCUUCUGGACUGACACUGACACUGAGGUGCGAAAGCGUGGGUAGCAAACAGGAUUAGAUACCCGUGUAGUC
rnacentral:rRNA from 1 species